CUUAACGGCAAUGGAUUCGCCGAUUCAACUCCGGAAAAAUUUCCAAUGGUGGUAACGUCGACGUUGUCUCCGUUGAAGAUGGUGUUGUUUCUCUCAAACUCCAAGAUUUAUUGAAAUUAUAUGCUCUAUAGUACUCUAAGAGUGGCAAUGGUGAAGCCAAUCCAAGUUCUAUCCAAAGAGAGUGGCAACGGUUUACUUACUGCAUGACGGGGAUUGCGUUUGACUGUUAUUGAUACUUCUCUAUCCCCUGAUCAACGAAAUAUGAUUUUAUCUGGAAGCGAUGAUAAUAUCUGCAAGGUGAUUGUUUUUGUUGCUGCGUUGAUUCAUUGGGAGAGAUAAGCUCUGGUUUAUUGCUGGUUUUGUCUCUGCAGAAUCGAGAAGAAAAAGCCUGUGGCAAUUGCGAUCAAUAUGGCCAUUAAGCUCAUUUGAAUCAAGCAUUGCUCUGUUUACUCUCUCUGCAAAAACGUUCACAGCAAGCGAAAUAGUGAAAGCUAUUAAUAACUUUGAUGAAUCGAGGGUUCUUGGUGAAGGUGGAUUCAGACGGGUUUACGAAGGUGUUUUCGAUGAUGGAACUAAAGUAGCAGUUAAAGUAUUGAAGAGAAAUGACCAUCAAGGUAGCCAAGAGUUCUUGGCUGAAGUUGAAAUGCUUAGCCGUCUUCAUCACAGAAACCUUGGUUUAUGAACUCAUACCAAAUGGCAGCGUUGAAUCUCACCUCCACGGAAUCGAUAAAGAAUCUUCGCCGUUAGAUUGGGAUGCUCGGUUGAAGAUAGCUCUUGGUGCUGCCCGUGGUUUAGCGUAUUUACACGAACACUCUAGCCCCCGAGUUAUACACAGAGACUUCAAGUCCAGCAACAUCUUGCUUGAACAAAAUAUAGAUGUUAUCAGCUUCCUGCUAGUUCCAAUUCUAACAUGACUAGUAAUCAUGGUGUUGCGAGGAACUACUGAAGUCUAUUGGUAGAGAGAAGUAGCUCAAUCGUCGACGCCAAGCCUCCAUUGAUGUUUUCGAACUAGUCAGGCAAGUCAGACCACAUCAAACCAACAAAAACUUUUGAAAAUGAUGGAGAUAUUAUUAAGGAUGAUGCUGAGUCGUGGAGUAUGGAUUCGUCAGCUCCACACCUUCUUUCUCAUUCAUUCUUAAUCCUAUUUUCCUGCAUCUCUUGCUUUAUCAAUGUGUUUUGCUUGUUUUUGAUUCAG